UACGUAGGUGGCAAGCGUUGUCCGGAUUUAUUGGGUUUAAAGGGUGCGUAGGCGGUUCUCUAAGUCAGUUGUGAAAUACUUCAGCUUAACUGGAGAGGUGCAAUUGAUACUGGAGAACUUGAGUACUGAUGAGGUAGGCGGAAUGGACGGUGUAGCGGUGAAAUGCUUAGAUAUCGUCCAGAACACCGGUGGCGAAGGCGGUUAGCUGGGCAGUUGCUGACACUGAGGCGCGACAGCGUGGGGAGCAAACAGG
rnacentral:rRNA from 1 species